GUGUGUGUCGAGUUGAACAGGUAGAUGUUUAAUUUAAUAAACAAUGCAAUGGAAAAGUUCCGCCAUGAAUCUUCAUUUGAAGGAAAAAGAAGAAGGUAUUUUUCGUAUAGUUAGAGAGGUAAAAAUCGAUCCAAGAAGAUAUAAAAAGCUGACCAUUGAUGAUGGACAAAAUCAUUCAGUAACAAACCAAACAAAAACUAUUAUUUGCUACUAUUUUGCUCAAAGCAAAUUUGAACAAAAAUGAAAACAUAUAUCGUUGCCGCUCUUUUGGUCUUAGCCGCUGUUGCUUCGGCCGUGCCAUAUUAUGGCAGUUACGGUUUCCUCGGUGGUGUUGGCUAUGGAUAUGGGGGACCAGCUUACUACAAAGCCAUUUCUCCAGCUUACCGAACUUAUUCUGUUCCAGCUUAUCACAGCUAUGGUUAUGCUGCACCAUAUUACAAAUCAUACGCUCCAGCUAUUAGCUAUGCAAGCUAUGCCCCAGCUUAUUCGUAUGGUUACGGUUUGGGUGGUGUCGGAUAUGGGUAUGGAUAUGGAUAUGCUCCAGCCUAUUAUGGUGGCUAUUACAAAAAAUUCUAUUAAAUGGAAUCAGCUCACAUCAUUCAAAUGAGAAUGAUGAUGAAUAAAUACAAAACAGUCAUGUAAUUUUUCAAAAAAAACAAUCCUGCCACUGAAUGACCAAAAUGUUCCUCUAUAUGAUUUGUAAAAUGAGCCAGUAAAGUCGGAAUAAAAGUCAAAAUUUUCCUUUUUGA